GCUGGAGUGACAACUGCUAAGGAGCCCCUUCUGUACUAUGGAGUGUGUCCAGUGUAUGAGGAUGGCCUUGUGAGACACGAAAGGAUCCAUGUUUACGAAGAUAAAAAGGAAGCCUUACAAGCUGUCAAAUUGAUCAAAGGGUCCCGGUUUAAAGCUUUUCCAACAAGAGAAGAUGCUGAGAAAUUUGCUAGAGGGAUAUGUGAUUACUUACCUUCUCCCAGCAAAAAUAUGUCCUUACUGUCUCCUGUAAAGGCAAUGCCCCUCUGCAGCAAUGAUGGGCCAAAAGCAGAUGGCUUGUGCCUGGCUGAAUCAGAAACAGUAAACAAAGAACGAGCAAACAGUUAUAAAAACCCCCGUACACAGGACCUUACUGCCAAGCUGCGGAAAGCUGUUGAAAGAGGGGAGGAACACACCUUUUCUGAUCUUAUCUGGAGUAAUCCUCGAUAUCUAAUUGGUUCUGGGGACAACCCAACCAUUGUGCAAGAAGGAUGUAGGUACAAUGUCAUGCAUGUUGCUGCCAAAGAGAAUCAGGCGUCUGUGUGCCAGCUGACAUUAGAGACUCUGGAGAACCCUGAAUUUAUGCGUCUUAUGUACCCAGAUGAUAACAUGGACAUGCUACAGAAACGUAUCCUCUACAUUGUCGACCUGUAUCUUAAUACUCCUGACAAAGUGGGCUUUGACACACCAUUGCAUUUUGCUUGUAAAUUUGGGAAUGUGGAUGUAGUCAACGUGCUGUAAAGGUGUAGUAGAAAGUGGCUUGGCAUCUCCUGCUGCAAUAGCAAGACUUGAAAAUAAGCAAGUCAGGACCAACAGUGAGGUGUCAGAGGCAAUGGCUGAAAUGUCUUUGGGCCCCAACAGCCCCCAACUUGGGGUUCAGGCUGGUCUGGAACCUGGGUUCUCAUCUGCCACAGCAGAUCCCACCAAGAGGCUCUUCCUGUCUGGAGAGGAGCCAUCAAAACUAGAUCGAGAUGUUUUAGCAGCCCUUGAGUGUGCGAUUAUUGACCCUGGUCUGUACCCAGCAGUCCACAGAUGGAAAAGUACCGUCAUGGGCUACUCGCCCUCAGACAGACAGAGUUGGCCAAGUCCUGCACUCAAAGGGAAGUUCACAACUGAGUUGGUGGAUCUUGAUUGCUGUCAUAGCUGCUCAGGACGAAGCAGCCCGGCUGGGAGCAGCCCCAGUAAGCCUGGCCACACCACCUUCUCUUCUGGCCUGCACAGCCCUGGACGCUACAGUCCAGCACAUGGGAGACACUUCCAAAGAGUGGCAUGCAUGGCCCGACUUGCAGCUCUGUAGAGCCAGCCAGUAUGCUCACUCCUGGGAUUCAUUUACUUCUUUGUUUUUUAAAGAAGAGUAAUGCUUAUUGGUAAAAAUUCCAUAAAAGAAUUGUAUAAUCCUCACUUUGAGGGUACCAGAAUUUUAGAAAAUAACAAUGUUCUGGUAGAAUUUGAAUGUCUGAUAUUUUGGAAGAAGUUAAUGAAAGCAAACUCAGAUAC
rnacentral:lncRNA from 1 species